AUACAGAGGGUGCGAGCGUUAAUCGGAAUUACUGGGCGUAAAGCGCGCGUAGGCGGCUUAUUAAGUCAGAUGAGAAAUCCCCGGGCUCAACCUGGGAACUGCAUCUGAUACUGGUAAGCUAGAGUUUUGGAGAGGGAAGUAGAAUUUCAGGUGUAGCAGUGAAAUGCAUAGAGAUCUGAAGGAAUACCAGUGGCGAAGGCGACUUCCUGGCCAAAAACUGACGCUGAGGUGCGAAAGCGUGGGUAGCAAACGGGAUUAGAAACCCCAGUAGUCC
rnacentral:rRNA from 1 species